rnacentral:rRNA from 1 species
CCCUUAGACGUUCUGGGCCGCACGCGCGCUACACUGAUGCAUUCAACAAGCCUAGCCUUGACCGAGAGGUCCGGGUAAUCUUUGAAACUGCAUCGUGAUGGGGCUAGAUUAUUGCAAUUAUUAAUCUUCAACGAGGAAUGCCUAGUAAGCGUGAUUCAUCAAAUCGCGUUGAUUACGUCCCUGCCCUUUGUACACACCGCCCGUCGCUCCUACCGAUUGAAUGUGUUGGUGAGGAGCUCGGAUUGGCAGCAGUUGGUGGUUCGCCACCGGCUAUUGCUGAGAAGUCCUCCAAACCGCCCCAUUUAGAGGAAGGAGAANUCGUAACA